rnacentral:pre_miRNA from 1 species
AAUGUACUCCCUCCGUUCGGAAUUACUUGUCGUAGAAAUGGAUGUAUCUAGACGCAUUUUAGUUCUAGAUACAUCCAUUUCUGUGACAAGUAAUUCCGAACGGAGGGAGUAGGUG